rnacentral:rRNA from 1 species
AGAUUGAACGCUGGCGGCAUGCCUUACACAUGCAAGUCGAACGCGAAAGGGGGGCAACCUCCGAGUAGAGUGGCGAACGGGUGAGUAAUACAUCGGAACGUAUCCAGUAGCGGGGGAUAACCUCUCGAAAGAGAGGCUAAUACCGCAUACGACCUACGGGUGAAAGAGGGGGAUCGCAAGACCUCUCACUAUUGGAGCGGCCGAUGCCGGAUUAGCUAGUUGGCGGGGUAAAAAGCCCACCAAGGCUACGAUCCGUAGCUGGUCUGAGAGGACGACCAGCCACACUGGAACUGAGACACGGUCCAGACUCCUACGGGAGGCAGCAGUGGGAAUUUGGACAAUGGGCGCAAGCCUGAUCCAGCCAUGCCGCGUGAGUGAAGAAGGCCUUCGGUUGUAAGUACGUCUUCGGUCGGGACGGAAAAGGUUACGGUAGUUAACGAACCACGACGUCCACUAGACGGUACCCGCGAGAAAGAAGACACCGGACGUAACUACGUGCCAGCACGCCGCGGUAA